UACAAACUUGACUGUAUAUCGCUUUGGAUAAAAGUGUCUGCUAAAUGGCAUAUA
rfam:Salmo salar isolate Sally breed double haploid chromosome ssa24, whole genome shotgun sequence.